AGAUGUGAUGAUAGCUUUUUGACACCCAGUCUCACUUGCUUCUGUUGAUGCAAUAUGGUGAUUCAGAGAUCGACUAUCUGAUCU